rnacentral:rRNA from 1 species
GAUGAACGCUGGCGGCGUGCCUAACACAUGCAAGUCGAGCGAGUGAAUCUCCUUCGGGAGUGAAGCUAGCGGCGGACGGGUGAGUAACACGUGGGCAACCUGCCUCAUAGAGGGGAAUAGCCUUUCGAAAGGAAGAUUAACACCGCAUAAGAUUGUAGCUUCGCAUGAAGUAGCAAUUAAAGGAGCAAUCCGCUAUGAGAUGGGCCCGCGGCGCAUUAGCUAGUUGGUGAGGUAACGGCUCACCAAGGCGACGAUGCGUAGCCGACCUGAGAGGGUGAUCGGCCACAUUGGGACUGAGACACGGCCCAGACUCCUACGGGAGGCAGCAGUGGGGAAUAUUGCACAAUGGGGGAAACCCUGAUGCAGCAACGCCGCGUGAGUGAUGACGGCCUUCGGGUUGUAAAGCUCUGUCUUCAGGGACGAUAAUGACGGUACCUGAGGAGGAAGCCACGGCUAACUACGUGCCAGCAGCCGCGGUAAGAC